GAUGAACGCUGGCGGCGUGCCUAAUACAUGCAAGUCGAGCGAACAGACGAGGGGCUUGCUCCUCUGACGUUAGCGGCGGACGGGUGAGUAACACGUGGAUAACCUACCUAUAAGACUGGGAUAACUUCGGGAAACCGGAGCUAAUACCGGAUAAUAUAUUGAACCGCAUGGUUCAAUAGUGAAAGACGGUUUUGCUGUCACUUAUAGAUGGAUCCGCGCCGCAUUAGCUAGUUGGUAAGGUACGGCUUACCAAGGCAACGAUGCGUAGCCGACCUGAGAGGGUGAUCGGCCACACUGGAACUGAGACACGGUCCAGACUCCUACGGGAGGCAGCAGUAGGGAAUCUUCCGCAAUGGGCGAAAGCCUGACGGAGCAACGCCGCGUGAGUGAUGAAGGUCUUCGGAUCGUAAAACUCUGUUAUUAGGGAAGAACAAAUGUGUAAGUAACUAUGCACGUCUUGACGGUACCUAAUCAGAAAGCCACGGCUAACUACGUG
rnacentral:rRNA from 1 species